GGGCUGAUGAAGGGCUAAGCCACACCUCUUUCUGCUCUGCUCCUGAAG
rnacentral:snoRNA from 1 species